CGUUCACAUCCCAACGAGUGCGUCGAAGUCGCAGCAGCAGCAGCACGUCAUGGCAAGUCUUUGCACGAGACACUGAACAGAAAGCCCCGCAACAUUUUCGCAAGUAUUUUUCACAUGAAAGAUUGUGCAUUUUAACCUGCAGAGGCAGUUGGGAGGACUAAACACCGCCCCCCCUCCUAAAAAAAAAAAAAAUGCAGCUGACAAGCUGUCAUCGUGUGAAAGGGUUCACCUGCGCCGCCACCCAUCAUUUGCCUUGCAAACCUCUGACAAGCAGAUAUGAGCUUUACAAACCAGUCGGCCUGCUUCUUCUUUUUUUUUUUUUAGAGCUUCAGUUCUGCAAGUCAUUGUCAACGCAGAGCAGAUGCCGCACAUUUCCAAUGACACAGCCUGAGCAGCUUCCGCCGAUUCAACGCCAUCAAAAAAACAGCAAAGCUCACAAUGCGAGACUGCACCGCAUUCGCACUUGCGGCCAAUUUACAAUCUUCAAGAGUCCAUUUCCUCACGUGGGAUGACGCCGUUGUACGAGGCCGACGUGCAAACCACGAACACGCCGGGCUGCGCUACACUUGAUGGACUACCCGCACUGACUGUCAGAAAAAUCAACAAAAUAUAACAGCAGGGAUACUUUUAAGUGAAAUAAAACGGUGGCUGGCUCAAGUUAACAUUUCUGUAUGCCUUUGGGGGGCUGGGGUGGGGUGGGGGGGGCAGUUAUUGGUUGCUCAGGCCGAACAGAUGGCUGCUACUCUUUGUUGCUAUAUGAGGAAGUACACUCUAUUAUUUUCAUGCCUUGGCUUUCAUAAUAAACAACACCGUGCAUUGUGUGACGCAAUCACAAUGGACAAAAGGAAAAAGGGGAAAAAAAAGGGAAAAAGGUGGCUUCGAAAAAUGCAGCAGGUUUGGGUUUUGGCAGCACUUUUUGACACACCCGUUUCUAUUGACCUUUUCACAAUGUUUGUCAGCGAUCGGUGCCAGAGUAGUUUCAGGUGGCAGGAAGUGAGUGAGCACCGCCAAUUUGAACUGAAAUGAUGACCCAGUUCGAGGUGACGGGCGAGGGGAGGAGGAUAAACGGAGUGGCUCACAAGACUGCCUGAAGGCAUAGGAGCUACUUGUGAAGGAAGAGGCAGCCAAGACAACCUCGCGGAAGACGUUUUCCUCAAUAAUUAGCCGGUCCCUCGAUGAUCACGUUAAAUAUUUGACAAUCGACGACUCUGUUGAAAGGUAAAUGACCAUCGGCGCUUCGUCUCCCCUCCAAACAAUUCACCUCGGGGAACUUCAUCUUUUCAAGGGACGUUUCGCGCAUUCCAACCGCGCGUGCGUGCGUAGCCAGAUAUUUUUCACUGGGGUGACUCGGUUGACACAACAUCUCAACACACACAGAAUCGUAACCCCCCACCCCCCCGUAAAGGAGAAGUAAUUGUUUAUCAAAGCAUCCGCAGUCAAGGCAUACCCAGAACUUUGCUCAGCACACGAGCAGGAUCAAGUGCAAAUAAAAGGCCGCGUUUUGCCGAGCUUCAUUUACGAGACAGCGCCAUUUUAUUUGCCGUUGUUUAGCGUUUAUGGACUUCCUCACAGUCUACUUCUCUCUUAUUCACUGAUUUGCAGUUGCUAGCGAACAUCCAAUCAGAGCGAGUCAUCGUCACACCGUGAUUGAUGGCCCACUCAUUCAAACGGUAUCAAAAAAGAAGCAUGCCACA